AGGGCUUUAUUUUAAUUUAAAAAGUUUGAGUUGCAUUCAGUAAAUGUAGGUUAAUAUCCUACAAGUCCUA
rnacentral:tRNA from 2 species